UACGUAGGGUGCGAGCGUUGUCCGGAAUUAUUGGGCGUAAAGGGCUCGUAGGCGGUUUGUCGCGUCGGGAGUGAAAUCCACUGGCUUAACUGGUGGCUUGCUCUCGAUACGGGCAGACUGGAGGUAUGCAGGGGGAGAACGGAAUUCCUGGUGUAGCGGUGAAAUGCGCAGAUAUCAGGAGGAACACCGGUGGCGAAGGCGGUUCUCUGGGACCGUGAGA
rnacentral:rRNA from 1 species